rnacentral:rRNA from 1 species
AGCGAAUAGAUACCCGGGUAGUCCACGCUGUAAACGAUGCACAUUAGGUGCUAGGGAGUAUCGACCCUCUUUAGUGCCAAAAAGCUAACGCGUUAAAUGUGCCGCCUGGGGAGUACGGCCGCAAGGCUAAAACUCAAAGGAAUUGACGGGGACCCGCACAAGUGGUGGAGCAUGCGGUUUAAUUCGAUGAUAAGCGAGGAACCUUACCUAGGCUUGACAUGUACCUGCAUACAUCAGAGAUGGUGUAGCCUUCGAGGGUGGUACACAGGUGCUGCACGGUUGUCGUCAGCUCGUGCCGUGAGGUGUUCACUUAAGUGUGAAAACGAGCGCAACCCCUAUCAUAAGUUACAAGUGUCUUAUGAAACUGCCGGCGUUUAAGCCGGAGGAAGGCGGGGAUGACGUCAAAUCAGCGUGGCUCUUACGCCUAGGGCGACACGCGUGCUACAAUGGGAAGUCACAAAGGGACGCCAAGGAGCAAUCCGGAGCAAAUCC